CAGCUGGUUAGCUAAAUAACAUUAUGUUCUGUAUCUAGUCUGUCUUGUAAUGUAUGUUUAAGGUUUAAAUAUGAAGUUAAGGCUAAAACUAUAACUUUUUAAUGUUUAAGCCUCCAAAAAAGACCGCGGGAAAGUCUGUGAAAGGAAAGGCUAUGAACGAAGUCAAUGGACUUUCUACAGACAACAUGUCAACUAAACAGCUGAAAGAACAGAUUAUCCAGCUGCGUGAGGAGCUGGAGAAGGAGCGAAAAGAGUGCAAUUACUUCCAGCUUGAGAGAGAUAAAAUACACACUUUCUGGGAGAUCACCAAAGAGCAACUGGAGGAGAAGAAAGCUGAACUUAGGAUGAAGGAGAUUGAAAUGGUAGAAGCUGAAGAGAGUCAUCAGGCUGAAAUCAAGUUGUUCAAUCAGAAAUUUAAACAGUUGCAGUAUGGACGACAAACCCAUAUAACAAAACUUAAGCCAGAAGAAGUGGUUGCCACCAAACUUCAGGAGAAAAAGCAGAUAGACCUGGAGAAUGAGGUGCGGAGAAGAACGCGCGGACUGACAAUGUAUAUGCAAGAACAGAAGUUCUCCUAUGAGUACUACAUAAAUGACCUAAAACUGAGCCACGAUAAUGAAAUCUCCAAGUUGUUAAGUAAAUUUGAGAUGAACGUACAAGAAAUCGAGGCUGGAUAUGAGAGGAAGUUGAAAAAACAGCGAGAGGAGCAAGACCUGAGGUGCAAGACUGAGUGCCAUGAAAUCAUUCGAAAGAAAACCAUCCAUUACAGCACACUGAUAAAGAACCACGACAAAGCGUUCACUGAUAUGAAGAACUAUUACAAUGAAGUGAAUCGUGUGAAUGUCGAGCAUAUCAGCUCACUUCAGAAGCAAGUGGAGGAGAUGAAGAAGACUGAGAAUAGGUUAAAGAGAGAGUUGGCUCAGGUGCGGGAGCAGAAUAAGCGAUUGAUUGAGCCACUGAAGAAAGCCACAGAGGAAGCAUCGGAGCUAAAGAAGCAGCUCGCAAAACAUAACGUGGACAAAGCCAAACUAGCCGAAGUUACUACAAGUCUCAAAAUUGUGGAGAAAGAGCUGAGAAACCUUAAAUGGGAGCAGGUAGUGCUGGAGGAGGCAUUUGAUAGGGUGCAGCAGGAACGUGAUGAACUAUACGAGAAGUUCAACGAGAACUCUUAAUGACACCAUGGAGAAAAAGACACACAGCUUAAUGAGGUUCAGUGCAACAUGGUGACUCAAACACUAGUCUCGUCCUCAGACAUUAUGCCCACAAACUGUUGGCUGAACUUCUGGUUUCAAAGUCAUCAUCUGACCAAUUGGAUUCUAAAGGAUUUUCAGGAGCCGUGUGCGUCACGUUAUUUUUCACUGUCUCCCAGGAAACAAAACUAUGGUGAUGUUCUGCUUCCCUCAUGGAAGAAAGAAGCCAUCAUGUUAACAACUGUGACACUGAGUGUUUACAACCUAAUAUUCGUGGAGAAGUCACUGAAGAAAUCGCUACAAGAGUCAAUAUAGUUGGUCAAGGUACAGCACCCGAAAAUAGAGAUGCUAGCGAGAACCUGGAUACAGAUCAAGGCCCGACUGCAUAUUGGAGAUCAUUGGCCGUUGUACGUCUUCCACUGAUUAAAAACAUUUAGACCAGAUGAAUGCUGGAUGUGUUAAA